UGGUGGGUAGUUUGACUGGGGCGGUCUCCUCCUAAAGAGUAACGGAGGAGCACGAAGGUUGGCUAAUCCUGGUCGGACAUCAGGAGGUUAGUGCAAUGGCAUAAGCCAGCUUGACUGCGAGCGUGACGGCGCGAGCAGGUGCGAAAGCAGGUCAUAGUGAUCCGGUGGUUCUGAAUGGAAGGGCCAUCGCUCAACGGAUAAAAGGUACUCCGGGGAUAACAGGCUGAUACCGCCCAAGAGUUCAUAUCGACGGCGGUGUUUGGCACCUCGAUGUCGGCUCAUCACAUCCUGGGGCUGAAGUAGGUCCCAAGGGUAUGGCUGUUCGCCAUUUAAAGUGGUACGCGAGCUGGGUUUAGAACGUCGUGAGACAGUUCGGUCCCUAUCUGCCG
rnacentral:rRNA from 2 species